rnacentral:rRNA from 1 species
CCUACGGGAGGCUGCAGUGAGGAAUAUUGGUCAAUGGACGAGAGUCUGAACCAGCCAAGUAGCGUGAAGGAUGACUGCCCUAUGGGUUGUAAACUUCUUUUAUAUGGGAAUAAAAUGUUCCACGUGUGGGAUUUUGUAUGUACCAUAUGAAUAAGGAUCGGCUAACUCCGUGCCAGCAGCCGCGGUAAUACGGAGGAUCCGAGCGUUAUCCGGAUUUAUUGGGUUUAAAGGGAGCGUAGGUUGAUUGUUAAGUCAGUUGUGAAAGUUUGCGGCUCAACCGUAAAAUUGCAGUUGAAACUGGCAGUCUUGAGUACAGUAGAGGUGGGCGGAAUUCGUGGUGUAGCGGUGAAAUGCUUAGAUAUCACGAAGAACUCCGAUUGCGAAGGCAGUUCACUGGACUGCAACUGACACUGAGGCUCGAAAGUGUGGGUAUCAAACAGGAUUAGAUACCCUUGUAGUC